UACGUAGGGUGCGAGCGUUGCCCGGAUUUAUUGGGCGUAAAAGGGCGCGUAGGCGGUCACGCACGUCCGUUGUGAAAUCGCUCGGCCUCAACUGGGCGGGGUCAGCGGAUACGGCGUGGCUGGAGCAAGCUAGGGGGCAAUGGAAUUCCCGGUGUAGUGGUGGAAUGCGUAGAUAUCGGGAGGAACACCAGUGGCGAAGGCGGCUCACUGGCCCGGUACGUGACGCUGAGGUGCGGAAAGCGUGGGGAGCAAACAGGG
rnacentral:rRNA from 1 species